rnacentral:rRNA from 1 species
GUGGGGAAUUUUGGACAAUGGGCGCAAGCCUGAUCCAGCAAUGCCGCGUGCAGGAAGAAGGCCUUCGGGUUGUAAACUGCUUUUGUACGGAACGAAACGGUCCGGGUUAAUACCCUGGGCUAAUGACGGUACCGUAAGAAUAAGCACCGGCUAACUACGUGCCAGCAGCCGCGGUAAUACGUAGGGUGCAAGCGUUAAUCGGAAUUACUGGGCGUAAAGCGUGCGGAGGCGGUUUUGUAAGACAGGCGUGAAAUCCCCGGGCUCAACCUUGGAAUUGCGCUUGUGACUGCAAGGCUGGAGUGCGGCAGAGGGGGAUGGAAUUCCGCGUGUAGCAGUGAAAUGCGUAGAUAUGCGGAGGAACACCGAUGGCGAAGGCAAUCCCCUGGGCCUGCACUGACGCUCAUGCACGAAAGCGUGGGGAGCAAACAGGAUUAGAAACCCGGGUAGUCC